rnacentral:tRNA from 2 species
GCCCCAUUAGCUCAGACGGUAGAGCACUUGACUUUUAAUCAAGGUGUCCGGAGUUCGAGUCUCCGAUGGAGCACCA